CUCCCAAACCCAAUGUGAACGUUACCAAACUGUUGCCUCGGCGGGAUCUCUGCCCCGGGUGCGUCGCAGCCCCGGACCAAGGCGCCCGCCGGAGGACCAACCAAAACUCUUUUUGUAUACCCCCUCGCGGGUUUUUUUAUAAUCUGAGCCUUCUCGGCGCCUCUCGUAGGCGUUUCGAAAAUGAAUCAAAACUUUCAACAACGGAUCUCUUGUUCUGGCAUCGAUGAAGAACGCAGCGAAAUGCGAUAAGUAAUGUGAAUUGCAGAAUUCAGUGAAUCAUCGAAUCUUUGAACGCACAUUGCGCCCGCCAGUAUUCUGGCGGGCAUGCCUGUCCGAGCGUCAUUUCAACCCUCGAACCCCUCCGGGGGGUCGGCGUUGGGGAUCGGCCCUCCCUUAGCGGGUGGCCGUCUCCGAAAUACAGUGGCGGUCUCGCCGCAGCCUCUCCUGCGCAGUAGUUUGCACACUCGCAUCGGGAGCGCGGCGCGUCCACAGCCGUUAAACACCCAACUUCUGAAAUGUUGACCUCGGAUCAGGUAGGAAUACCCGCUGAACUUAAGCAUAUCAAUAAGCGGAGGAAAAGAAACCAACAGGGAUUGCCCCAGUAACGGCGAGUGAAGCGGCAACAGCUCAAAUUUGAAAUCUGGUCCCUAGGGCCCGAGUUGUAAUUUGUAGAGGAUGCUUUUGGUGAGGUGCCGCCCGAGUUCCCUGGAACGGGACGCCACAGAGGGUGAGAGCCCCGUCUGGCUGGCCGCCGAGCCUCUGUAAAGCUCCUUCGACGAGUCGAGUAGUUUGGGAAUGCUGCUCAAAAUGGGAGGUAUAUGUCUUCUAAAGCUAAAUAUUGGCCAGAGACCGAUAGCGCACAAGUAGAGUGAUCGAAAGAUGAAAAGCACCUUGAAAAGAGGGUUAAAUAGUACGUGAAAUUGUUGAAAGGGAAGCGCUUGUGACCAGACUUGGGCGCGGCGGAUCAUCCGGGGUUCUCUCCGGUGCACUUCGCCGCGUCUAGGCCAGCAUCAGUUCGUCGCGGGGGAAAAAGGCUUCGGGAACGUGGCUCCUCCGGGAGUGUUAUAGCCCGUUGCAUAAUACCCUGCGG
rnacentral:rRNA from 1 species